rnacentral:rRNA from 1 species
UACGUAGGUGGCAAGCGUUGUCCGGAAUUAUUGGGCGUAAAGCGCGCGCAGGCGGCCCUUGAAGUUCAGGCGUGAAAGCCCCGGGCUCAACCUGGGAGGUGCGCUUGAUACUCGAGGGCUUGAGUGCGGGAGAGGAGAGUGGAAUUCCCAGUGUAGAGGUGAAAUUCGUAGAUAUUGGGAAGAACACCGGUGGCGAAGGCGGCUCUCUGGACCGUAACUGACGCUGAGGCGCGAAAGCGUGGGGAGCAAACAGGG